rnacentral:rRNA from 1 species
UACGUAGGGUGCGAGCGUUAAUCGGAUUUACUGGGCGUAAAGCGUACGUAGGCGGCUUGUUAAGCAAGAUGUGAAAUCCCCGGGCUCAACCUAGGAAUUGCGCUUGUGACUGGCGGGCUCGAGUACGGUAGAGGGGGGUGGAAUUCCUGGUGUAGCAGUGAAAUGCGUAGAGAUCAGGAGGAACACCGAUGGCGAAGGCAGCCCCCUGGGCCUGUACUGACGCUCAUGCACGAAAGCGUGGGUAGCAAACAGG